GAAAUGCGAUAAGUAGUGUGAAUUGCAGAAUUCAGUGAAUCAUCGAAUCUUUGAACGCACAUUGCGCCCUUUGGCAUUCCGAAGGGCAUACCUGUUCGAGCGUCAUUGCACCUCUCAAGCGCAGCUUGGUGUUGGGCUGCUGUCUCCCGCGCGCCGCGGAGAGACUCGCCUGAAAAGCAUCGGCGUCCGGUGGUUGGUCUUGCGCGUAGCAGAUUGUUCGCACAAGGACCGGGCCGCCGGGCAGCCGCACACGUCUUUGCAUCUUAUUUUGACCUCGGAUCAGGUAGGGAUACCCGCUGAACUUAA
rnacentral:misc_RNA from 1 species